rnacentral:rRNA from 1 species
AUCUUCGGAUCUAGUGGCAGACGGGUGAGUAACGCGUGGGAACCUGCCCUUUAGUAGAGAAUAACUCGGGGAAACUCGAGCUAAUACUUUAUACGCCCUUCGGGGGAAAGCUUUAUGCGCUAUUGGAUGGGCCCGCGUUAGAUUAGUUUGUUGGUGAGGUAACGGCUCACCAAGGCUACGAUCUAUAGCUGGUCUGAGAGGAUGAUCAGCCACACUGGGACUGAGACACGGCCCAGACUCCUACGGGAGGCAGCAGUGGGGAAUAUUGGACAAUGGGGGCAACCCUGAUCCAGCGAUGCCGCGUGAGUGAUGAAGGCCUUAGGGUUGUAAAGCUCUUUUGUCAGGGAAGAUAAUGACGGUACCUGAAGAAUAAGAUCCGGCUAACUCCGUGCCAGCAGCCGCGGUAAUACGGAGGGAUCUAGCGUUAUUCGGAAUUACUGGGCGUAAAGCGAGCGUAGGCUGAUUUGUAAGUUGGAUGUGAAAUCCCAGAGCUUGACUCUGGAACUGCAUCCAAAACUAUAUUUCUUGAGUUUGGUAGAGGAGAGUGGAAUUCCUAGUGUAGAGGUGAAAUUCGUAGAUAUUAGGAGGAACACCAGUGGCGAAGGCGACUCUCUGGGCCAAUACUGACGCUGAGGUUCGAAAGCGUGGGUAGCGAACAGGAUUAGAUACCCUGGUAGUCCACGCAGUAAACGAUGAAUGCUAGAUGUUGGAAACAUUAGUUUUCAGUAUCGCAGCUAACGCAUUAAGCAUUCCGCCUGGGAAGUACGGCCGCAAGGCUAAAACUCAAAUGAAUUGACGGGGACCGCACAAGC